CUAGGGCAUCCCGCACCUCCAUGGCCCAGCACGGGCCUCUUAAGGUGUGUGGGGUGCAGCCCCUGCAGGGGCCUGUGGACUCAGCUGAGGAUCCUUCAGCCUCCGUCGUGUCACCGCAGGAGGGGGAUCCCCUGAGCUGCAUCCGUGCCUGCUGCACACGCAGACCCCAGGUAGCGGGCACUCUGUGCUUCCCGGGCUGCCCCUGCCCGGCCAUGCCCAGAGGGUGCCGGGGUCCCCUGAUGCCGACACCGGUAACUCCCCUCCCUGUCUCAGGCACAGGCACAGAAGCUGAGCUUUCUGGCCUGCGUCCGCACCGCCUGCACAGCUGCCCUCAAGGACAGAGAGGCUCACAAGCACCUGAGUGCCUGCGCAUCAGAGGUGGCGCAGUGCAUUGAGGUAAGGGGAGCACCGCAGGGCCGGGCGCUGGGCACAGCCCUUCCCACUGCGGGGUCCCUGGGGAGCCCGGGAGUUGGGAUGUGGGGCCAGGAUGGGGUGCCCGGGCUCUGCCCACCAAGCAGGGCACACCGCACCAUCCCAUCCCAUCCCAUCCCAUCCCACUGUGCUCUCAGGAGCUGCUGCAGGAGGAGCCCGCCGACCGCCUGGACACAGAGCUGCGGCAGCAGGCCAUGAGCGCCAUCGCCGCCAUGAGCAGUGCGUGGCUGCUUCCAGAGAAGCAGAAGAACAGUCUCCUGUGUGCCUGCCUCAGCAGCGUCCUCCACCUCCCCGGCUAUGAGGCUGACACGGACCUGGACAUGGCAACCUACACGGAGGUGCGCGCAGGCUGGGCCCUGGGGAUGCUCCCUGGGCACCAUCACCUGGGAUGCCCCUCUGCUGCCAGCAGGACGCAGCAGGGAAGGCCGCCCUGACCCCUGUCCUCCUUGCAGACCAUGGAAGCCCUGCACCGCCUGCUGCAGGUGCUGGUGGGCAGCGCCGGCACCUCUGUCCUCAUGGAGCUGCAGAACAUCUUGGAGGUCUGGCUGCGGCAAGGCUGGGAUUUGGGGGAGUGGUUCAAGGCCAUGAAGGGGGGAAUCUAUACGAGGUCGCCCCAGGGCCCGCUGCAGGCAGGGGGUGCUGAUCUGAC
ensembl:lncRNA